ACAAUCCUAGAGAUAGGACGUUCCCCUUCGGGGGACAGGAUGACAGGUGGUGCAUGGUUGUCGUCAGCUCGUGUCGUGAGAUGUUGGGUUAAGUCCCGCAACGAGCGCAACCCUUGAUCUUAGUUGCCAGCAUUUAGUUGGGCACUCUAAGGUGACUGCCGGUGACAAACCGGAGGAAGGUGGGGAUGACGUCAAAUCAUCAUGCCCCUUAUGACCUGGGCUACACACGUGCUACAAUGGAUGGUACAAAGGGCAGCAAAACCGCGAGGUCGAGCCAAUCCCAUAAAACCAUUCUCAGUUCGGAUUGUAGGCUGCAACUCGCCUACAUGAAGCUGGAAUCGCUAGUAAUCGCGGAUCAGCAUGCCGCGGUGAAUACGUUCCCGGGCCUUGUACACACCGCCCGUCACACCACGAGAGUUUGUAACACCCGAAGUCGGUGGGGUAACCCUUCUGGGAGCCAGCCGCCUAAGGUGGGAUAGAUGAUUGGGGUGAAGUCGUAACAAGGUAGGCGUAGAUGA
rnacentral:rRNA from 1 species